rnacentral:rRNA from 1 species
AAAAUAUAUCUUAUAUAAGAUUAUCUCGAAUUUAGAAGAGCUAGGGGAUUAUUAAUUUUAAUGUGGAAUAAUUAUUUAAAAUAUUUUCCUUGUUAUUAGACGUUAGUCGGUUUUAAAUAUAUCUAGUUUUCAAAGAAAUUAAUUUAAUUAGGCCUGUUUAAUUAAUUAAUUAUUUGGAUAAUUAGUUAUUGAACAGAGAAAUAUUCAGGGGGAUAAGCUCUUGAUUAAAUUAUCUAAAAAUACUGAGUUUGAAAGGUUAAAUAGGAAUAGAAGUUUUCAUUUUUUGUAGUGUGUUAUAUCAAGAUUUUUAAAUAGUUGAUUUGUUUUUUUUUAGACUUUUUAUUUGAAUGUUGAAUUUAAUUUUAAAUUUUAAGUAAUAAUGAUUAAAUUAGUAUAAUUAGUUGUUUUAAAAUUAUUAAUAGGGAAUUUUAGUUAAGGAAUUCGGCAAAUUUAUUUUCUGCCUGUUUAUUAAAAACAUGUCCUUUAGGUUUAUUAUUUAAGGUCAGGCCUGCCCAAUGAUAAAAUUAAAUGGCCGCGGUAUUUUGACCGUGCAAAGGUAGCAUAAUCAUUAGUUUUUUAAUUGAAAGCUGGAAUGAACGGUCUGACAAGAAAAUUACUGUCUCGGUUAAAUAAUUAGAAUUUUAUUUUUUAGUAAAAAAGCUUAGAUGUUUUUAUGGGACGAGAAGACCCUAUAGAAUUUUAUAAUUUUUUUUUGAUUGGGUUUUUAGUUUAAUUGUCCUAAUUAUGAAAAAUUUAAUUUGUUGGGGUGACAGGAAAAUUUAUUUAACUUUUCUUAAGUUUUUUCACUUAUUUGUGUUUUUGUGAUCCAUUUUUUAUGAUUAUAAGAUUAAAUUACCUUAGGGAUAACAGCGUUAUUAAUUUGGAGAGUUCUUAUUGAUAAAUUAGUUUGCGACCUCGAUGUUGGAUUAAAAUUUAUUUUCGGUGUAGGGGCUGAAGAAUUAAGUCUGUUCGACUU